GGUUCGAUCCUGGCUCAGAUUGAACGCUGGCGGGAUGUUUACAUGCAAGUCGAACGGCAGCACGGACUUCGGUCUGGUGGCGAGUGGCGAACGGGUGAGUAAUGUGGACGAACGUGCCUAGUGGGGAUAACUACGCGAAAGCGGAAGCAAUACCGCAUACGUACCCUUCGUGGCGGACCCGGGCCUCGCACUAUUAGAGCGGCCGAUAUCGGAUUAGCUAGUUGGUGGGGCAACGGCUCACCAAGGCGAUGAUCCGUAGCUGGUUUGAGAGGACGACCAGCCACACUGGGACUUCGAGACACGGCCCAGACUCUACGGAGGCAGCAGGGAAUUUUGGACAAUGGGGGAAACCCCGAUCCAGCCAUCCUGGCGUGUGCGAUGAAGGCUUCGGGUUGUAAAGCACUUUUGGCAGAAAGAAACGGCACGGGAUAAUACCCUGUGCAACCGACGGUACCUGCAGAAUAAGCACCGGCUAACCACGUGCCAGCAGCCGCGGUAAUACGUAGGGUGCAAGCGUUAAUCGGAAUUACUGGGCGGCAGUGCGCAGGCGGUUCGGAAAGAAAAAGAUGUGAAAUCCCAGAGCUUAACUUUGGAACUGCAUUUUUAACUACCAUGCAGCCUAGAGUGUGUCAGGAGGGAGGUGGAAUUCGCGUGUAGCAGUGAAAUGCGUAGAUAUGCGGAGGAACACUGAUGGCGAAGGCAGCCUCCUGGGAUAACACUGACGCUCAUGCACGAAAGCGUGGGGAGCAACAGGAUGUUAGAUAAUUCUGGUAGUCCACGCCCUAAACGAUGUCAACUAGCUGUUGGGGCCUCGCCUGGUAGCGCAGCCAUCAUGUGAAGUUGACCGCCUGGGGAGUACGGUCGCAAGAUUAAAACUCAAAGGAAUUGACGGGGACCCGCACGGCGGUGGACAUGAUUAUCUGAUGCCGCGAAAAUCAGACUCUACCUUUGCGCGUCUGAAACCCAAGAGAUUAAAGUAUCGCAAGAGAACAACACAGCGCGCAUGGCUGCCCGUCAGCCAAAAUACGAGAGCGGUUGGAAACCCGGCAACGACAUGUCCCUGAAGCCAUUAGCUCGUUUUGCGAAAGGGCACUCUAAUGAGACUGCCGGUGACAAACCGAGGAAGGUGGGGAUGACGUCAAGUCCUCAUGGCCCUUAUGGGUAGGACUUCGUCACGUCAUACAAUGGUCGGGACAGAGGGUCGCCAACCCGCGAGGGGGAGCCAAUCCCGAAACCCGAUCGUAGUCCGGAUCGCAGUCUGCAACUCGACUGCGUGAAGUCGGAAUCGCUGGUAAUCGCGAUCAGCAUGUCGCGGUGAAUAUUGCCCGGGUCUUGUACACACCGCCCGCCACACCAUGGGAGUGGGUUUUACCAGAAGUAGUUAGCCUAACCGUAAGGAGGGCGAUUACCACGGUAGGAUUCAUGACUGGGGUGAAGUCGUAACAAGGUAA
rnacentral:rRNA from 1 species